rnacentral:rRNA from 1 species
GAUGAACGCUGGCGGCGUGCCUAAUACAUGCAAGUCGAGCGAACAGACGAGGAGCUUGCUCCUCUGACGUUAGCGGCGGACGGGUGAGUAACACGUGGAUAACCUACCUAUAAGACUGGGAUAAUUUCGGGAAACCGGAGCUAAUACCGGAUAAUAUAUUGAACCGCAUGGUUCAAUAGUGAAAUACGGUUUUGCUGUCACUUAUAGAUGGAUCUGGGCCGCAUUAGCUAGUUGGUAAGGUAACGGCUUACCAAGGCAACGAUGCGUAGCCGACCUGAGAGAGUGAUCGGCCACACUGGAACUGAGACACGGUCCAGACUCCUACGGGAGGCAGCAGUAGGGAAUCUUCCGCAAUGGGCGAAAGCCUGACGGAGCAACGCCGCGUGAGUGAUGAAGGUCUUCGGAUCGUAAAACUCUGUUAUUAGGGAAGAACAAAUGUGUAAGUAACUAUGCACGUCUUGACGGUACCUAAUCAGAAAGCCACGGCUAACUACGUG